GCCGCGGAUCAUCUUGGCCUAGAAAGCGUUCCUCCUCGGCCCCGAUUCGGCGUUGACAAGUGAAGAUGUAGCGUAUUUACGCCGCUUCGGUGGUUUAAGCGGUUCAACCGAGCUCGGUCGCGCACACAUAGCGGCGGAUAAACGGCGGCUCUCGCCUCAAAUAACUUACAAGUGGCGUAAGUUCCUACGGGAGAGGACGUCGAGAGAGGAAGGCAGAGGAAGACCUAGAGAGGCAGAGAGGGAGAGGCGGAAGGAGGGAGGGAGAGACUGCAGAAAGAGAAAG